UGAACAUAAGAAAACAUAAGGUGGCUAAAAAAUAUAUUGAACCAAAUGUGCCUGACUGAAUUUUAUUUGGAAAAAGUACUGGAUUUUAUUUGGGAGUACAAUAAGCAGUUAUGUAUAAUCUUCUGUCUUGCAAACUGGAAAUGAAAACUAAUUAUCAUUUUUUGCUUUCUGACUUGCAAUGCAGAAUGUGAGAGCUUAUACCCGCAUAAAACAAUUUUUUCUUGGGCGUCGAUGAGCACAGGAGCUCGGAGGAGGCCACCAUGGAGCUGACGUGACCUCGGCAAACAAAACAUGUAAAGAAUGAGAACGACGAGGCGAACCAAUACUACAGAGGAGCUGGACCAUAGGGAGGUCUUAAUUUUAAGUAGCAAUCUUGGUUGCUAGCAUAUGUAAGAUUUGAAGUAUCUAUCCACCUUUAAAAUAGUAGUGUCUAAAUACUAAAUAAUGAUUAUAGUGAUUUAUGACAAUCAGGUACCGUUUGGUUUAGCAUAUAAGUGUCUAGAUACUAAAUAUAAGUAUCUAUCCACACUUUGGUUUAGCAAUCAGGUACCGUUUGUUGCAAAGGAACUAUAUUUAUGAGGGACUUCCUGAUGAUUUAGUGAUUUAUGAUUCCUACAAGUAUAUAGGAAUAUUUCAGCUCCAUCAUAGGAAAAAUAAUCUGAAAUA